rnacentral:rRNA from 1 species
UACGUAGGGUGCGAGCGUUGUCCGGAAUUAUUGGGCGUAAAGAGCUCGUAGGCGGUGUGUCGCGUCGGCCGUGAAAACCUGGGGCUUAACUCUGGGCGUGCGGUCGAUACGGGCACCACUAGAGUUCGGCAGGGGAGACUGGAAUUCCUGGUGUAGCGGUGAAAUGCGCAGAUAUCAGGAGGAACACCGGUGGCGAAGGCGGGUCUCUGGGACGGUACUGACGCUGAGACGCGAAAGCGUGGGGAGCGAACAGG